rnacentral:rRNA from 1 species
GAUGACUCUCGGCAACGGAUAUCUAGGCUCUCGCAUCGAUGAAGAACGUAGCGAAAUGCGAUACUUGGUGUGAAUUGCAGAAUCCCGUGAACCAUCGAGUCUUUGAACGCAAGUUGCGCCCGUGACCCAUCGGGUCGAGGGCACGCCUGCCUGGGCGUCACGC